AUACGGAGGAUCCGAGCGUUAUCCGGAUUUAUUGGGUUUAAAGGGUGCGCAGGCGGCCAUUUAAGUCAGCGGUUAAAUCGUGGGGCUCAACCCCAUUCUGCCGUUGAUACUGGGUGGCUUGAUUGCGGUCGAGGUUGGCGGAAUUCGUUGUGUAGCGGUGAAAUGCAUAGAUAUGACGAAGAACACCGAUUGCGUAGGCAGCUGACCAGACCGCAAAUGACGCUCAUGCACGAAAGUGCGGGGAUCGAACAGGAUUAGAUACCCUGGUAGUCCGCACAGUAAACGAUGAAUACUUGUUUUCGGCGAUAUAAUGUCGGAGGCAAAGCGAAAGCGAUAAGUAUUCCACCUGGGGAGUACGCAGGCAACGGUGAAACUCAAAUGAAUUGAC
rnacentral:rRNA from 1 species